GAUAGUCUAUCAAUAAAAAUUGAUUAUGCAUUUUAUAAGUGAGUAAAUACAUUUGUUCAGAACCUUCUUUUACAAUUGAUAAUAGACAACAAUAGCCAUUAAUGAAAGAUAAAUUGUAUUGAUACAACUAUAAGGUGAAAAUGAUGGCGACAACAUCAAUGGUAAGGCAUAUCAUUGCUUGAUCACCGAGCUAUAGUCAUGUAUUUUUGGUCUGGCUUUGCCAUCUUCUUGAACGUGCAUCCAGCAUAGGUCUAGUACUCGUUGCUCAAUAAAUGAACUUUCAAGAGCUUGUGGGAAGAGAAAUUGCAUCUACAUUGUACGGAUAAGGACCUUUAAUGUCUUAUGUCUGUACACACAACAUAAGCUUCACAUUUCCUCAACUUGCAGACCAGAAAAAAUUAAGAACAUGCCUGGAUUUAAAAUAGAGAAAGAUAAGCAUAGUAAAUGGUCUAGAAUCAUAAUGUAGGCAAAUUGAUCAUAUACCAAGCAAUCAUAUAUCAGCUAUUUCUACAAAUUAUAGAUUACAAUUCAACCAAUAUGGUUAGACGUUCAGUAUAAGGCUCAAUACUUGUAGUGGCAUAUUUCCACUUAAACCAAUCUAUAUGAUUCAUAUAAUUUUCCUACCGGUUACAAAACAUAUAAUUCAUGAAUAUGGCUAAAAUUUGUCCUUGAAGCAUAUUUUCAUAAACUGAGCUUCAUGUACUUACCUUUAUCACUAGUAAGCUUCAGAUGGUAAUGCUAUGCCUGACCAGAUAAGAUCAUAGUUCAUUG
rnacentral:lncRNA from 1 species